rnacentral:rRNA from 1 species
UGGGGAAUAUUGCGCAAUGGGCGCAAGCCUGAUGCAGCGACGCCGCGUGGGGGAUGACGGCCUUCGGGUUGUAAACUCCUUUCGCCAGGGACGAAGCGUUUUGUGACGGUACCUGGAGAAGAAGCGCCGGCUAACUACGUGCCAGCAGCCGCGGUAAUACGUAGGGUGCAAGCGUUGUCCGGAAUUACUGGGCGUAAAGAGCUCGUAGGUGGUUUGUCACGUCGUCUGUGAAAUUCCACAGCUUAACUGUGGGCGUGCAGGCGAUACGGGCUGACUUGAGUACUGUAGGGGUAACUGGAAUUCCUGGUGUAGCGGUGAAAUGCGCAGAUAUCAGGAGGAACACCGAUGGCGAAGGCAGGUUACUGGGCAGUUACUGACGCUGAGGAGCGAAAGCAUGGGUAGCAAACAGGAUUAGAUACCCUGGUAGUCCAUGCCGUAAACGGUGGGCGCUAGGUGUAGGGGCCUUUUGGGGUUUCUGUGCCGUAGCUAACGCAUUAAGCGCCCCGCCUGGGGAGUACGGCCGCAAGGCU